UUUGUAGAUUGACAGAAGAUGUCUGGAGCUCUGAAGUUAUUCUGCAGCGCUCUGACUUUUGUCCUCCCAUUCUUUCAGGUGCCGUCAGACGAAAUCCGUGGCAGAGAGCCCCGUGCCGGCCAGCCAGAAAGUUUUUGCAUUCGAAUGAGAAAGCCCUAGAAGCAGUGCAAAACACAGCUCACACGGUCCACGUGCCCGAAGGCUUCAAAAAUUCCGCCACUCCGAUCGGAGAACAACUUGUAAUGAUCCAGAGUCCUGGGAAGAUCCACAAGAAGAAGGGGGGCCGUUGAAGUACGUGGAUGAUCUUCUAGUAGUCACUCGGACGAACGAAGCACGUGUGGCCUAGACGGUAAGCCUUUGAAAUUUCCUAGGACUCCAAGGAUACAGAGUAUCAAAGAAAAAGGCACAGGCAGUGAAACAGAAAGUAAUCUACCUGGGAUACGAAGCGAGUGCCGAGCAACAGACUUUAGGGCAGGGAAGCCAUAUGCCAAACCCCAAAACCCCAGACAACGAAGGAACUCCGAACCUUCUUAGGCACGCCAAGCUAGUGCCAGCUCUGAGUUUAUAAUUAUAGACUGCUUGUCAGACCCCUCUAUGCUCUUAUUGCCAAUGGAAACAGAUCUCCAGUGGACAAAAGAAGCCACACGGGCCUUUCACCAGCUAAAGAGUGCCCUCAUGUCAGCUCCAGCUUUGAGACUUCCAGAUGUACAUAAACCAUUCUUUCUAUUUUCCCAUGAAAGACAAGGAAUUGCCCUGGGAAUACUGGCUCAGGACUUGGGUCCAUACCAGAGGGCAGUUGCUUACUUCUCUAAGCAACUAGAUGCAACAGCAAAGGGUCGGCCAGGUUGCCUCAGAGCCGUAGCAGCAGUCAUGCUGAAUAUUCAAGAGGCACGCAAGUUUACCCUGGGACAAAAAUGACCGUGCUAGCGUGCCACACAGUGUCCACAGUACUGGCAGUAAAGGGCAGCCACUGGUGCGCACCACAGAAGUUCCUGAAAUACCAGGCCAUCGUGGUAGAGCAAGAUGAUGUAGAGAUAGUAGAGACUAAUAUUGUCAACUCAGCUUCUUUUCUCAGUGGAAUCAAGGAGAAGCAGUACACUACGAUUGCCUAGAGACCAUUGAAGCUACUUACUCCAGCUACCCAGACUUGAAAGACACUGCUCUGGACGAUGCAGAGACAUGGUUCACUGACAGGAGCAGCUACAUUGCCAGUGGAAAGCUACAUGCUAAGUACACAGUGACUACCUGCAAAGAGGUAAUAGAGGCUGGACCCUUACCAACAAGUACCUCUGCAGAGAAGGCCGAGAUAAAUGCACUGGCCCAUGCCUUGGAAAUAGCAAAAGGAAAAGAAUAUAAACAUCUGUACAGACUCAAGGUAUGCAUUCAGAGUCGUGCAUGCACAUGGAGCCAUCUGGAAGGAGAGGGGACUGCUAACCUCACAAGGAAAGAAGAGACAAUCCGGCUGGCGGAAGCAGUUCAGCCGCCUGAAAAGGCAUAUUAAGGCGCACCAGAGAGCGAGCUCAGAAUUGGAGGAAGGAAACGAGCUGGUGGACGGAGAGGCAAAGAAAGCAAAAGCCUCUUGCAGAAAAGCCUUUGGAACCGCAGUGGGAGGGACCGUUCCAAGCGCUUCUCACCGCCUUCACCACAAUCAAGAUCAAAGAGCACAAUGCCUAGAUCCAUCACUCUCGAAGAAGGCCCCAGGAGGCCCUUGGAGGGUGACAUCAGGAGACAGUGAACUGAGAUUAAGCUUACUCAGACCAAAUGAGUAUAUUGCGGCCAGGGGUAGUUUGUAAUUUCAUUUACAGAAUUGUUUUCUAUAUAAUUAUAACUGGAGUCUUAGAAUUAGAGAGUACCUCUAUUCAAAGCGAUGCUGAAUGGCCUCGGUCCCAGGCUUCUAAUCAGUGUACUAGAUCCCUACUAGAAGUAGGGAGAACUUUCUGAGAUUAAAGAUCUAAACCUGUCCACUGUAUUAAUUAAUGAAAGUCAGGUAUAUGAGAAGCAGGAGUGGCAGGAACGAGGACUGUGGACACUUCAAGAGAUCAGGAGAGAAGAAAUCACAGUAGGGUGUCGGGUAGUCAAUGGCAUGGCUUAUGAGAGACCAGCUGCAAUUAGUGUCUCAACCUCUCCCGUAUACAGGCACCAGGAAGUUUGUGAUAACCUAAGCGAAUCAGACUGUUGGUGUAAUUUCACCUUGAUACAGCCUGUAGAAGUGACAUGCCUUUAGGCUCAGGAUGCUAUCAGGCUCUCAUUUAGAUUUAAAAUAGACACUGCAUUUCCUACAACAGCAGGACCUUAUACAACCCACACUAGUAAUCGAAUAGUUCAGACCCAACCCAAACUUGAACAUGAAGUGUAUGAAAUAGGCCCACACGUAGUGAGGAAUGCCGGUGAACAACAACUGUUAUUCAAUCCAGAAUGAUCUCUGAAACGUGUUGAGUCGCUAAUGCAAAUUAACAUCUCAAAAAUCCAACCAGCCUGCCUGUCUUUCCUAAGGACAUCCUUUAAGAGCUAGACAAUGUGGUUACAAAGAUAAGUAUACCUCAGAAGCAGAAUCAGAAAGGAUCUAACUGAGAAAUUAAGGACAGGAUUGAGAGUUUUAAAUGGAAUUGAUUCAGAAAUACUGAUGAAUAAGCUGGCCACCACAGCAGGUAGCCUAGCAAAAUUGAAGCAGCCUUAACAGUCGUCUCUAUUGGCAUUAGGAACUAGCCAGCGGCAGAUUUCAGAAGUACUGCCAAAGUGAGAAAAGGCCAGGGACCAAGACCACAAGUUAAUAGAAGAAAUGCUAAGUACAGUUCAGGAUAAUGUGUCUUUAGCUUUCAGUUGUAUACAAGCACUGUUAUAGAUGCAAGCAACAGCAGCUCUGAUCAUAUGGGAAAGGGGUGAAGGUAAUUUUCCAGCUGAAAUUUGGCAAGUUGUCUGAGAUAAUGCAAUUGAUUUUGAAAAGAAGUUUCAAUCCUGGUGGACUAUGGUAAAUUUCACUUAUUAUCCUGCUUCUAAUGUGGCCACUGCAUUUGUGCUUACCAUAUGUAAUGCCAUUGUUUACAUUAUCCAUCCCAUCAUUGCACUAAGAUUAAAUCAUGAAAAAAACAGUGCUCUACCCUUCAGAACAUAGAGCGUGGGCACGAAAAGCGAACGAAAAGCGGCAAACAGUAAACUUAGAAUCCUGCGUUACUAGAGAACAGCUGGGAUUCAUUUGUGAAAGCAAUCCUAUUAAUGCCCAAGAUGUGUGUCUAGACACCGAACGGAGUAUUUGCCACUCCGAAAUUCAUCCAGUCACUGACCAGAAAACCGUGCUCGUAUAUACUGGUAAAGGUUGUGCGUGCCUGAGAACUGCUUGUGCUGCUGUAAAAUUUGAUAACAACGAUGUUAUUUUG